AACAGUAAGUUCAGAGGAUUAAAAACUGUUAAGUGCUUUGUUAUGGACGAGUCAGUUACCGACAAGUCAACAACUCAUGUUGAUGCAAAUGUAAUGUGUGAUCAGUCUUACGACAAUAACAGUACUUGUAUAACGGAUAGUCCGCCUGAAGUAGACCAUGAUGAGGAUGACAAACCAGGACGUCUUCUCUGCAUUGUGACCGACCGACCGACCACCUAUACCCGGAUACAUUUUUCUGGCAUUUCAGCUCUGAAAUCAACAUGCAUGUGUCAACACCGUAGCAGCUUGAUGACACAGCAGACCGCAUCACACAAUGGUCACAUCCUUGAAACUUUCUUUAAAACGCAUCGCACCAUAAUAUCACACAUCCUUGGCUUCCUUAAGAGAUCCGAGAUGGCUAGGCUCCCUGCUAUCCCGGAUGCGAUCCACUGCGUCCUCAAAGUACCACAAUGCUAACCACGUGCAGUACUCGAUGAAAAUGAUAAAGACGUGUCAUCGGCAAACAUUCUUGCAAGUGAAAGUAAAUUAUCAGCAAUAUGAUUUAUAAAAACUAAAAAUAGGAAAGGUCCGAGGACCGACCCCUGUGGAACACCUGCAUUUAAAUGCCCAAUCGAAGAAGUAGAGUUAUCUGAUAUGACCUGCUUCAGGGAACUCAAUCGUAAGUCAAGCGUAGUAUCCGGUUCAAUCAUAUGUCAAGUGGAAAGUUAAACACAAUGGUCCCAGUAUUCAAGUCUUGUAAAAAUAUAGCCACUUUUGCUAAACACGAAGAAAGUCUUAUAUCUCUUUAACUCUACACGCACUUAUAUACCGUAAUCGAUAACUGGUUAGUGCUUAUCUUUACUUGAGCAAUGCUUAAUUUCAGUUCUUCCAAUCCAUUAAAGGGGCAUC